rnacentral:lncRNA from 1 species
CGGAGAAACAGUAUAUUCGAGAUUGGAAUUAAUUCAAAGAAAAAUUCCUGUUCUCAUUUUUGAAUGAAGACCACAAGGAAGUUGCUGCACAGAAAUUGGCAAAUUACUGACAGAGGGUCAAUGAAUCGGUGAGAGACUUUGCUUUCAACUAUAGAGCGAUGGCACUAAAAAUUAACCCUUUGUUGCUUGAAGCCGAAUUAGUGCAGGCAACAUUAAGAAGCUGCAAUCCGCGGUUGGCGUCACUGUUGAGAGGAACGGUGAAAACCAUUGAUGAGCUGGUUCGUCUCGGUACCCAAAUAGAGAGGGACUGGACUGAGAAUAAGAGAAGGUGGAAUCAAGAGAAAAGUGAAGAACAGAAGAAGAGCUCUACUGGUGACAAAAGUCAGUCUAAUCGCUUGAUGCUGAUUGAUCCUGCUGUUGGCUCUCAGUGUGAUAAUGUACUGCAAGCACCCUUGAUUUUAAAUCACUCAUUCUUCAAUGCUGUCAUUGAUACGGGAAGCACUUUUUCUUUGAUGCAGCAGAAAGUAUGGCAGAGACUAAAGAGAAAGGAUGAGCUUUUGACUAGAAGUGAUCAGACAUUCAUGCUUGCUAAUGGCCAGAGUCAAAAAACCCAAGGUAAAAUACUCUGGGAAUGUGAGGUGUACGGAUCGAAACAUGAGGUCACAUUCUAUGUGAUGAAGGAUGAGGAUUUGGCAGUACCUAUCAUCUUAGGUUUGAAUUUCCUUAAAGAAGCCAAGGUCACCAUCGAUUUUAAUACUUCACGUAUAUCUCUGCCUGAUACUAACUCUAGUCAUCCCAUGAGUUUUAAUAAGACGAUCAAGCACCCUGCUGUACGUUUUUAUGCUGCCCAAGGAGAAGUUGAGUUGAUGUGCAAUGAGAAGUUGAAGUUAAUCGACCAAGUCGUGGAAAACUCUCAUGCUGCAUUCAAGGUAAAGAGUCAAUUGAAAGCUCUCCUGUAUGAUUGGCCUUCGGUAUGCACCACAAAUCUAGGACUUACAAGCCUGAUCAAGCAUGAGAUUAAAACUAUUGACGAAC